rnacentral:rRNA from 1 species
AACGAUGGAUGCCCGCUGUUGGUCUGAAUAGGUCAGCGGCCAAGCGAAAGCAUUAAGCAUCCCACCUGGGGAGUACGCCGGCAACGGUGAAACUCAAAGGAAUUGACGGGGGCCCGCACAAGCGGAGGAACAUGUGGUUUAAUUCGAUGAUACGCGAGGAACCUUACCCGGGCUUGAAUUGCAGAGGAAGGAUUUGGAGACAAUGACGCCCUUCGGGGUCUCUGUGAAGGUGCUGCAUGGCUGUCGUCAG